rnacentral:rRNA from 1 species
AGAGCGAACGCUGGCGGCAGGCCUAACACAUGCAAGUCGAGCGCCCGUAGCAAUACGGGAGCGGCAGACGGGAUAGUAACACGUGGGAACGCGCCCUUCGGUUCGGAAUAACUCAGGGAAACUUGAGCUAAUACCGGAUACGCCCUUACGGGGAAAGAUUUAUUGCCGAAGGAACGGCCCGCGUCCGAUUAGCUAGUUGGUGAGGUAAUGGCUCACCAAGGCGACGAUCGGUAGCUGGUCUGAGAGGAUGACCAGCAUCACUGGGACUGAGACACGGCCCAGACUCCUACGGGAGGCAGCAGUGGGGAAUAUUGGACAAUGGCGCAAGCCUGAUCCAGCCAUGCCGCGUGGAUGAUGAAGGCCUUAGGGUUGUAAAGUCCUUUUAACGGGGAAGAUAAUGACGGUACCCGUAGAAUAAGCCCCGGCUAACUUCGCGCCAGCAGCCGC